AAAAAACAAAAACCUAUAUUAAGAAGAUGGUUGGAGAGGAAGACUCAGUCUGUUGUGUGUGUGCUUCUCCAGGGGUUAUCGGUUGACAUUUAGUGACAGCUUGUGGGCAGGAAAAGGUGCGUAGCAUCCUUCCCAUCAUCCGUCAACUCUGGGAAAUCAAGUGUUGCCUGAUUCUAGAAUCACAAAGCCAACUGACAGCUUUAAAGUAAACUUGUUGUAAUUUUGUCUUUUGACACUUAGUGUCAGGACUCUGAUUUUAUUGAGAACCGCUAUGUCUUAGCUAAAAGAACACACUUCCCAGCCUCCUUUGCAGGAAUGUGAAGGCUGGAGCAACAGCAACCCUCUUGGUCCAGCAAGAGGAUUGGUCCAGCAACCCUCUUGGUAAUCUUGAGGGUGGAAGGCACACACUAAGAGGGUGGACCCAGCAAGGAUGGAAGGACCCUGGGUCCCAUGGUUGGAGCUGUCUGGCAGCCACCAGACCAAACUAUCGCCAACCUCUCGAAUUCCUUUAUGUGAGGGAAAAUAACACUAUAUGUGCCCAAAUGAUUAUUUUUGGUUUUCUAUUACAUGCAGCUACACGUAAUCCUAAUCCAAUUCUAACAGUUACAAGAUCCCUGUCAAGUGGUUGGUCUGUGUUUGAAUAUUUCCCAGUCCUAAACAAUCAAGAGUAGCAUAAGGCACUGAGUGCCAGUAGGCCUGAUGCUGGGCAGGGGUUAUUUCCCCAUUUUUCAGAUGAGGAAACUGAGGCUUAGAGAAACCAAGCACAUAGCAAGGUCAGUGGCAUCCGUCUGACUCCAAAGCCCCACACCCCACACUGCUCCCUGCUUUUAGUUAGAAAGUUCUCCCUGCUCCCUAUCUUCACCCAGGAAAUAAAAACCUAUAUAUUUAAGGUA